rnacentral:rRNA from 1 species
UACAUGGGGUGCAAACGUUGUCCGGAAUCAUUGGGCGUAAAGCGCGCGUAGGUGGCUUCGUAAGUCCGUUGUGAAAGUCAAAGGCUCAACCUUUGAAAGCCGAUGGAUACUGCGGAGCUAGAGUACGGAAGAGGCGAGUGGAAUUCCUGGUGUAGCGGUGGAAUGCGCAGAUAUCAGGAAGAACACCCGUGGCUAAGGCGGCUCUCUAGUACGGUACUGACGCUGAGACGCGAAAGCGUGGGGAGCGAACAGG